rnacentral:rRNA from 1 species
GGCGAACGGGUGAGUAACACGUGAGUAACCUGCCCUCUUCUUGGGGAUAACGGUCUGAAAGGGCUGCUAAUACCGGAUGUUCACUGUCUGUCGCAUGGUGGGUGGUGGAAAGAUGCACUGUUGUGGUGUUUUGGUGGGGGAUGGGCUCGCGGCUUAUCAGCUUGUUGGUGGGGUGAUGGCUUACCAAGGCUUUGACGGGUAGCCGGCCUGAGAGGGUGACCGGUCACAUUGGGACUGAGAUACGGCCCAGACUCCUGCGGGAGGCAGCAGUGGGGAAUUUUGCACAAUGGACGCAAGUCUGAUGCAGCGACGCCGCGUGAGGGAUGGAGGCCUUCGGGUUGUAAACCUUUGUUGCCCUUGACCAAGGUGAUACGUGGGUAUUGUUGAGGGUAGGGGGUGAGGAAGCGCCGGCUAACUACGUGCCAGCAGCCGCGGUAAUACGUAGGGCGCGAGCGUUGUCCGGAAUUAUUGGGCGUAAAGGGCUUGUAGGCGGUUGAUUGCGUCUGCCGUGAAAUCCUCUGGCUUAACUGGGGGCGUGCGGUGGGUACGGGUUGGCUUGAGUGCGGUAGGGGAGACUGGAAUUCCUGGUGUAGCGGUGGAAUGCGCAGAUAUCAGGAGGAACACCGGUGGCGAAGGCGGGUCUCUGGGCCGUUACUGACGCUGAGGAGCGAAAGCGUGGGGAGCGAACAGGAUUAGAUAC